AGUGAACGCUGGCGGUAGGCCUAACACAUGCAAGUCGAACGGCAGCACAGUAAGAGCUUGCUCUUACGGGUGGCGAGUGGCGGACGGGUGAGGAAUACAUCGGAAUCUACUUUUUCGUGGGGGAUAACGUAGGGAAACUUACGCUAAUACCGCAUACGACCUACGGGUGAAAGCAGGGGAUCUUCGGACCUUGCGCGAUUGAAUGAGCCGAUGUCGGAUUAGCUAGUUGGCGGGGUAAAGGCCCACCAAGGCGACGAUCCGUAGCUGGUCUGAGUGGAUGAUCAGCCACACUGGAACUGAGACAGGGUCCAGACUCCUACGGGAGGCAGCAGUGGGGAAUAUUGGACAAUGGGCGCAAGCCUGAUCCAGCCAUACCGCGUGGGUGAAGAAGGCCUUCGGGUUGUAAAGCCCUUUUGUUGGGAAAGAAAAGCAGCAGGUUAAUACCCCGCUGUUCUGACGGUACCCAAAGAAUAAGCACCGGCUAACUUCGUG
rnacentral:rRNA from 1 species